rnacentral:lncRNA from 1 species
AUUUUCCCCAAAAGAAGCAGAAAAUCUGCCUCUGUGGCAACAUAUUUCCUUCCAGGCGUUACCUCCUGAGCUUAGGGAACAAACUGUCCAUGAGGUCACCACAGUAGGCACUGCAGAAUGCAGGAAAUGGCUGAGCAGGAGUCGUACUUUGGGAGAACUAGAAUCUCUGAACACAGUACUGUCUGCUUUGCUUGCAGUAUGUAAUUCUGCUGGUGAAGCUUUGGAUACAGGAAAACAAACUGCAAUUAUCGAAGUUGUGAGUCAGCUUUGGGCUUUUUUAAACAUUAAACAGGUAGCAGAUCAACCUUAUGUUCAACAGACAUUCAGCCUUUUACUUCCACUGUUGGGAUUUUUCAUUCAAACUCUAGAUCCUAAACUGAUACUUCAGGCAGUAACUUUGCAGACCUCGCUACUUAAAUUAGAGCUUCCUGACUAUGUUCGUUUGGCAAUGUUGGAUUUUGUAUCUUCUUUAGGAAAACUUUUUAUACCUGAAGCUAUCCAGAAUUCUGCCCAACCUGUCCUGUAUGU